rnacentral:rRNA from 1 species
GUAGGGUGACCUGCGGAAGGAUCAUUGU